rnacentral:lncRNA from 1 species
AAAAGUAUAUAGGAGUUGUAGAAGUUAAUUAAAGAGCCAUCGCUGUGAUAGUUGUGAGCCAGGGUAAGCUUGGUGCUACCUCUUUUCUUUUGUUUGUUAUUUUCUUUGAAUAAGAAGAUUGAGAGUUUUUUAAUACUGUGAAGUGAAUUAUGGAAUGGAAAUGCGAUUGGUAUUAUUUGAAAAGAAGAAAGAUUGAAUGCUCAAAUCUCAUUGUAGUUCAGCAGAGAGAAUGAGUCUGUGUUUGUGUAAAACAUAGUAUUGUGAAUGACAGCUCUGUAUGAAGAAUUCUAGUGAUUGGAAUGACGAUAAUUGUAUGCUGAAAGCUAUGAAGGCAGAGUAUUACAGUUGGAGAUUAUGAGAAUGAAUAUAUUGGUGGAAAUAGCAGUUAUUGAUAUGACUAAAUUGUUGUAAGGAAGAGACCGAUAAGGCGAAGGAGGAGAUUAUAGUUUCCUUAUGUGUUCAGAUAUUAAAAAUAGAGACAAUACAUUCAGAAGGUAAUUGAUUGUGUGAUCCUAAUGUGAACGCUUAAGCAACUAGUCAUUCCCCGUGUUUGAAACCUCCUAUAUGAAUUUAUUCUGAGAGGUUUCUUCUAGAAUAAGUAAAACGAGCAAUCACAUUUUGGCGCUGCUCCCGAGGAGUGAUAAUAGCUUUGAAUGUUAGGAAUUAAUUAUCAAACAUGUGAAAAAAUUGACAAUGGAAGACAAUUUUAGUAGUGUUUGAAGCAAGAUUAUGAUUAAUAAGAACGAGAGCAUUGUAUCGAGGAAAAUAAAUCAGUUGAGAGAAAGACAGGGAAGAGUACAAGGAAGGAGCUUGCUUAAAUAGGAGCAAGAACGUAAUCUUAAAAAGAAGCAUCGACAAAAUUGGAUUAAACCAUGGUUGCAAGCUUGUCGGUGCAUCCAAACAUAUCAAGAAUCGGAUAGACUGUUAAUUUUGCAGUCAUAUGUACUGUUAGAAAAACUGCCAAGAACACUUGUAGGAAAUUUUGUUAACAUUUCAGUGCAAAUCUUGAGGCCGUUAACUGAAAGAGAAGGAUGCGUAGAAGAAUUUGGUACUCCAUUGGGUAUUUUUUCAAUAAGGGAUACCGCUCAAACGAGCAAUAGGGGCUCUUCAGAUUGGCACAAAUGGAUCGCUAAUAAAGAUAACUAUAUUAUAUUUCAAAAUCUGACGUUUUCACUUGCAAUUCAACCAAUAAAACUAUUUGCAAAAAAUAAUAGUAAAUCAAAGAGCACUAAGAGCUCGAAAAUUAGAAUAAGGAAAAGCAGAGAUUAUUUUAAAAUGGAGUUUAGUGGAACAAGAAAUUCAAUGGCAUCUGGAGGACCAGCCAUUCCAAUUGCACUACAAAUGGGUGUAGUAGGCGAUCGUAUGACUAAUAUUAUGCUACUACCUACUUUUCGGGGAUUUCCGGGUACAGAUCCCGAUCAAUAUUUGUCUCAAUUUCUUAUAGCAUGUUUAGCUAAUAAUGGUAGAAUUGAAGAUAUUUGGUUGCGAUGGCUGCCAUCGACCUUAAAAGAUACAGUGUUUGAAUGGUACAACCCCCAAUCAGUGGAUCAAUUUUCGAAUUGGAAAGCAUUGAAGAAUAUAUUUUUAUCUCAUUUUCAGCCAAUUACUUUUAAGGACCACCUUCGAGAGAGGUUAAUGAAUAGCAAAAUGAUCCUAGGGGAGGCGGUGGAAUCAUACUAUGGUUGAGUGGCUGAUAUACUCAGUAAGUGGCUGAAUCACCAAAUGUCGGAGGUAUUUAUCUUAUCGAUAUUAAUCAAUGGUUUGCACCCACUAGAGCUAAAAAUGUUUGUAGAAGAAGCUCAAACCGUUACGAUGGUUGCGUCCCUUAAUAGAGCCAAGGUUUCAGAGGAAUGUAUCACGGCCAUAAUCAUGUAAGCUAAUAAUUACAUAUAGAAAUAGGUAGAAGUAAGUAAAAGUAGAUAAAAGUAAGUUAAUUAUAUAAUAUUUAAUAUAAAAGCUUCCUAGAAACUUCUUAGACGCUGCUUUGACUUCAUAGGUGUCUUUAAUUGACUUUUUGGAUUAGAAACGUGGUCAACAAGUUGGCCAUGUGCCACACAUGUUGUUAGCUUGAAGAUCAAGCUAACUAUGUGGCCCACACGUAGAAAAACUUGCCUUGUAAGUCAAGGCAUGUGUCCUACAAAGUCAACACAUAUUGGAGGUCCUAUAGAACGUUGCCACAUAGAUAGUAUAUAUAAAGACAAGAGUGAAGGCUUCUUCACUCUUGUCAACUCCUUUCUUGCUUCUAGUCCAGGUUCAAGAGUCUUUAGUUUCUUGUCUUGUGGCAAUAGCCAUUCCAGUUUCUUUUUAAUAUACCUACUUGUUUAUAUUUUGACUUAUUAUAUCGAGAUAGCCUUUUGGUGUAUAUUUUUCCUCAUCGAGUCUUUGUCCUUGACAGAUUGACAAGAGUACACUUACAAUAUCAGAGUUUUGUUUUCUCUUGAGUAAGAGUGGAUUACCCCUUUCUCUUGACAAGACAUAAGCGUAUUAGAAGUUUGCGGAUUACCCACUUCUAAACUGAUAUUGUUCUUAGUAUCUUCUUUGUUAUCAAGUCUUUCUUUUCUUUUGUCUUGAGCAAUAUCAAACAAAUUUUUCUUCUUAGUGUCAUUAUGGCAGAACUUGUUGAAAUGAAGAGUGCAAUGGCACAAAUGCAAGAGCAAAUGAGGGAGUUAAUGCUUGCGAUGCAUCAACUCAAUUUACCAACACAUGAAAGAACAAGAAUAGCAGAAAGUGGAGAUAUAGAGAUGAUCGGAGCUGCUUCAACAUCUACAAAAAAUCACGUUCCUUCUCCAAUUGUACAACACCCUAUAAGCACUAGAGAACCAAGAAUUGCCUUACCUGAGAAAUUUGAUGGUACGAGAUCAAAGUUUCGAGGGUUCAUCAAUCAAGUACAAUUGGCAAUUGAACUUCAACCGCAAAGCUAUCCAACUCCAGGAUCACAAGUCAGGUUUAUUGGCACUCUACUUUUUGGUUCUGCAUUAUCGUGGUUUUCGUCUUUUCUUGAACAACGAAAUCCAAUAUUGGACAAUUUGGAAGCUUUUUUGGCGGAGUUUCGAUCUAUGUAUGGUGAACACGAUGCAACUCGUGUUGCAACAAAUAAGAUCCGAAUUCUGCGACAAGAAAAUCGCUCAGUAACAGUAUAUGCUUCACAAUUUCGAUAACUUGCAAUUGACAUCAAGUGGGAUGAUGCUGCACUCAUCAGUCAAUUUCUUUAUGGAUUGCAAUACGAAGUAAAGAAAUUGAUGCUCAACUUACCUGAUCCUCAAACUUUGAGUCAAGCAAUCGAUUUUGCGGUAAAAUGUGAUAAUCGACUUUUCGAUCUUUUGAAUUUUGAUCUGAGAAUGUGAUAAUCUUUUGAAUUUCGAUCUGAGAAUCAUUCACGGGAACCUCAACGUUAUUACUCAAUGGCAACAUCAACAUCUUUACCAAACGUACGUUCGGAAGUAGAAGACAUGCAAAUUGACGCGGUACGUUUUAAACCUCUAACUGAGCAAGAAAAGAUUCGUCGUCGUCAAGAAGGAUUAUGUUUAUAUUGCGGAGAACCUAAGCACACUGCUCAACAUUGUCCAAAGAAACGACGCAACUAUAAAAUGAGGGGUACGACGGUCAAAGAAGACAACAUGUCAGAAAACGGAUUCGUCCAGCUACAAUAGGGACCGUGCAGCUGAAACCUUGUACAAUUCCUAAUGAAGGUCCUAUCCUCUCCUCAGAACCCUCUCCUUGUUUUAUAAUAGACUUAUAUUUAGGACCUAAGAAUUACAAAGCCUCUGCUUUAUUAGAUUCGGGAGCCUCAGCAUGUUUUCUAGAUGAACAAUUUGUUAAAAGUCGUAAAAUACCCUUUGUACAGAAACCUAAACCAGUACAUGUAGAAGUCAUAGAUGGUCGUCCCUUGUCUUCUGGAGAUGUCACUCAUGAAACUCAUCCUAUAAAAGUAACAAUAGAUGGUCAUGAUAGCUACAUAGCUUUUAACAUAAUUAAAUCCCCGUCCAAUCCAGUUAUUUUAGGUUUAUCCUAGCUAGAAAAAUAUAACCCUCGAAUAAAUUGGAAUUCGCGUAAACUUGACUUUUCCAAAAGCAUUAUUAAUAGUUCUACGAACCAAGUAAAAAAUUAUAAGUCUAGUACAGUAAAACCCGUACUGAUAGGUGCAAAAGCAUUUAUACACGCAGCAAAAGAAGGAUCAACUUUUGCUAUUUAUGUUGCACCUAUUUCUGAAAACGUAAAGACUUCAAGUGGCAUUCCAAGUCAAUAUCAGGAGUAUCAAGACGUUUUUGAGAAAAAGAAUGCAGAUAUUCUUCCUGAGCAUCGUCCAUAUGAUUGUUCAAUCGACCUCAAGGAAGGAACUCAGCCACCAUUUGGACCAAUUUACAGUUUAUCGCAAGAUGAGAUGGCUGAACUCAAGACAUAUAUUGACGAGAAUUUAGCGAAGAAUUUCAUACGCCAUUCAAAAUCUCCAGCAGGAGCUCCAAUUCUAUUCGUAAAGAAAAAAGAUGGAUCUUUACGAAUGUGUGUUGAUUAUCGAGGACUCAACAAGAUCACAAUCAAGAACACGUAUCCAUUUCCUUUGAUAUCAGGACUCCUUGACCAGUUGAAUCAAGCUAAGAUCUAUACAAAAAUAGAUCUAAGAGGAGCAUAUAAUCUAGUACGGAUCAAAGAAGGAGAUGAAUGGAAGACUGCGUUUCGAACCAGGUAUGGACAUUUCGAAUAUAAUGUCAUGCCCUUUGGACUCACGAAUGCACCAUCUGCUUUUCAACAUCUCAUGAAUGAUAUAUUUCGUGAAUUCUUAGACAAUUUUGUCGUCUGCUAUCUAGACAAUAUCCUGAUCUAUUCCAAGAACGUCGAAGAACAUGAAAUACAUGUUCGUCAAGUAUUACAAAAACUUAGAGAUGCAGGAUUGUACGCCAAGAUCGAAAAGUGUGUAUUUCACACUACUCAAGUUGACUUUUUAGGAUACAUCAUUUCAAAUGAUGGUCUCAUGAUCGAUUCUAAGAAAGUCCAAACAAUCGUGGAUUGGAAGAUUCCAAGGACGGUAAGAGAUGUCCAAUGUUUCUUGGGAUUUGCCAAUUACUAUCGGAUCUUUAUCAAAGAUUUCUCACGAGUUGCAGCUCCACUUACACGCUUCACUAGUAAAGAUAAAUUUCAAUGGAAUCAAGAAGCGGAAGCAGCAUUUGAAGCCUUGAAGACAUCGUUUAUCUCUGCACCAGUCUUAUAUCGUGUUGACUUUUCCAAGGCAUUUUUUAUGGAAACAGAUGCAUCAGAUUUUGCCUUGGGUGGAGUUUUAUCACAAAUGGGAACAGAUGACAAACUUCAUCUGAUAGCUUUUCAUUCAAGAAAAUUCUCAGCAGCCGAGAUCAAUUAUGAGAUCCACGAUAAAGAACUUCUUGCGAUCGUGGAUUCCUUUCAAGAAUGGCGUCAUUAUCUAGAAGGUGCUUCUAGUCCAGUCACUAUAUAUACAGAUCACAAGAACCUCGAGUAUUUCAUGUCAGCACGCGUGUUGAAUCGUCGUCAAGCUUGUUCGAGUAUGUCUUGUCAAGAUUCGAGUUCAUUAUCACUUAUCGGCCAGGAAAACAACAAGGUUUAUCCGAUGCCCUAUCUAGACGUUCUUAUUUUGCACCAAAAGAAGGAGAUGUAGCUUUUGAGCAACAAAGAACGGUCCUCUUGAAACCGGAGCAAUUUCAUCUUCGAGUAAUGAAAUCAACAUUGACUGUUGAUUCAACUUUUCUCAAGCAAAUCCAGUUCAGUAUGUCCUCAGACCCUCUUGUUUAUGAUAUCGAGAAUAAUUCUUCCAAGUCUCAUGAUCUUUCUAAGUUCGAGUUCAAGAAUAAUCUAUUAUAUUUUGAAAGACGCCUAUAUGUUCCAGAAGGAGAAGCACGUUUACGUGUUCUUCAAGCACGUCAUGACUUUCCAGCAGCAGGGCACUUUGGAUAUAAUAAGACUUUGGAACUCAUAUCAAGAGAUUUUUAGUGGCCACAAAUGUGGAAGUCAGUCAAAGACUUUGUACAAUCAUGUGAUAUUUGUUCAAGAUCAAAAAUUCCUCGUCAUCGACCUUACGGACUUCUUCAGCCAUUACCUAUACCAGAACAACCAUGGUCUUCUGUUUCUAUGGAUUUCAUCACAGAUCUUCCAAGCUCAAGAUCUUAUGAUUCUAUAUUUGUGAUAGUAGAUCGUUUCACCAAGAUGGCACAUUUUGUGCCAUGUACAAAAUCCAUCACAGGUGAAGAAACAGCUAAGCUUUUCAUUGAUAAUAUCUAUCGCUAUCAUGGAUUAUCUAAAGAUAUCAUAUCGGAUAGGGGAACUCAAUUUGUGUCAAGAUUUUGGAGGACCCUUUUCAAGAUUUUAAAAGUGAACAUAAAGCUAUCUUCGGCUUUCCAUCCUCAAACUGAUGGACAAACAGAGCACGUAAACCAAGUCUUGGAGCAAUAUUUAAGGUGUACUAUCAACUACCAACAAGAUGAUUGGACAACCCUUCUGCCAUUGGCAGAGUUUGCUUAUAAUAAUACGGUACAUUCUUCCACGUAACAAACACCUUUCUUUGCCAAUUAUGGCUAUCAUCCACGACUUGAUACUUUUGAUUUUUCAAAAGUUGAUAAUCCUGCAGCAAAAGAUAUGGCAAAUCGGUUGUCAGAGUUACAUGCAAUAAUGAAGACACAAUUGAAAGAAGCUCAACAAUGACAAAAGAUAAACGCAGAUCUAUAUCGUAAGGAGCAACCACAAAUCAACGUGGGUGAUAAGGUAUGGCUACUUCGUCGCAAUAUCAAGACUACUCGACCUUGUGACAAGUUGGACUAUCGUAGGCUUGGCCCCUUUUCUGUUUCUGAACAGAUCAACCCAGUUGCAUAUCGGUUACAUCUACCGGAGUCAAUGAAGAUCCAUCCUGUAUUCCACGUAUCUCUUCUUGAACCAUAUAAGACAGUGGAUAUACAAGGAAGAAGACAAAUGCCACCGCCUCCUAUAGAAGUAGAUAAUAAUGAAGAAUUUGAGGUGGAAGAGAUAUUAGACUCAAGGCGACGCCGAAAUAAGCUGGAAUAUCUUGUUCAUUGGCGCGGAUAUGAUAUUAGUGAACGCACAUGGGAGCCAUCCAGGAAUCUAGCAAAUGCAUCAGCUAAAGUCAAAGUUUUUCAUCAACGACAUCCAUCAAAACCAAGAUGAAAAUCUCUCUUAUAAAAGAGAGAAGAUUGAGGCAAGAUAACAUUCAAUUUCCUAUCCUUGUUUGUAACUUCUUUACAUUUGUGAUGCUAAUUAGAUGGAGAGCCAACAACCAGUGGAUUCAACUCAAGAACCUUCGUUUGCUGACCUGCCGGACGAGACAUUACGAUUGUCACAACCUUCAAGACGACUCAAUCGAGAUGAAGAUCUUCAAGAACGACAUGUUCUUCCUCGAACAGAUGGUGAGAUACAACGCGUUUGGUAUCAUGAUUUGGGAAGGGACUCCCGAUGUUUGGUGAUUUUGCUAGAGGUAGGAACAACUCCUGAUGGUGUUCCGAAUAUUCUAUUCGAAGGAAGUUAUGAAGGCCUCAAUAAUGAUCAAAUAACUGGGUGGUCUUUCCGCCCUGGUAUGAGACACUACCGAUGGUUGAGAGGCCCUAUCAAUCAUCUUUGAAGAGAACAGAGAUCAGAGUAUGUGGCGAAUACAAUUCGUCGCAUCAUAGAUUUCCUCAACAUAUGAUGACCGCUCCUCGUGGAACUCGUCUCUAGAAGGGGGGAUAAUGUCACGGCCAUAAUCAUGUAAGCUAAUAAUUACAUAUAGAAAUAGGUAGAAGUAAGUAAAAGUAGAUAAAAGUAAGUUAAUUAUAUAAUAUUUAAUAUAGAAGCUUCCUAGAAACUUUUUAGACGCUGCUUUGACUUCAUAGGUGUCUUUAAUUGACUUUUUGGAUUAGAAACGUGGUCAACAAGUUGGCCAUGUGCCACACAUGUUGUUAGCUUGAAGAUCAAGCUAACUAUGUGGCCCACACGUAGAAAAACUUGCCUUGUAAGUCAAGGCAUGUGUCCUACAAAGUCAACACAUAUUGGAGGUCCUAUAGAACGUUGCCACAUAGAUAGUAUAUAUAGAGACAAGAGUGAAGGCUUCUUCACUCUUGUCAACUCCUUUCUUGCUUCUAGUCCAGGUUCAAGAGUCUUUAGUUUCUUGUCUUGUGGCAAUAGCCAUUCCAGUUUCUUUUUAAUAUACCUACUUGUUUAUAUUUUGACUUAUUAUAUCGAGAUAGCCUUUUGGUGUAUAUUUUUCCUCAUCAAGUCUUUGUCCUUGACAGAAUGCCAUUAUGAUCAAUUUUUAACUACCGAAGCCACGAUGAUUCCAGUUCAAGGUAGAUAUCAAAAUCUGACUUAGAACGAAUCAGUGAGUAGUUAUCUACGAAUAUUAGAAAAGGGGCCAAUUCCAAUACCAAUAUUUAGGGGCAGUUAAUGUCAGCUCAUUGUAAGCUAUACCAUUGAACGUAACAACAGCGUAUGCUCCAUAUUUUUUGUAUCAACAACAAGCAUUAACUUCGGCAUAGAUAUCAAUAAUGCCAGCCCUAAAAGAUUCCAAUGAAACCUUAUUAUUAAAUUUGACGAAGAAAAUGGAGGAAAUGGUAGUCAAUAUGGCCAAAGAUAAGGAGAAGAGGCAAAACCCUAUCAAUACUAAGACCAAUGUAUGGUGCAAUAAUUGUAAGGGCCACGGUCAUUCUGUAACAGAAUGUCCCUCAUCCUCACAAAUAAUGGGUCAAUGUACAUUUUGCGGAGGAAAGGACCUAACAUCAAAUUGUUGAAAUUGGCAAAGACAACAACAACAAUUUAGUAAUCAGACCAUGAUCCCACCAACCCAGUGGGAUAUCAAUCAAGUGUAAACGGAAAAUACGUUUGGAUGGAAUUAAAAUCGAUUUAAUAGACAAAAUUGAGCAUUCAAUAACUUUCAAAGUUCCAAUUUUAAUCAGGGGUCUGCAUCGAACCUCCAGAACUAUGGUAAGGAGCAGCAGAUGUAUCAGCAAUAUGCUCCACUGAUGUCAUCAAACCAAGUUCCCUCAGUACCAAUAGGACAACCAGGAUCAUUUUGUAACCCUACAUGGAACAAGCCUAGUAGUUAUAUACCAGUAGACACACCCAUUAUCCUUGAAGGAGUUGACAGGAGAUAACUUCGUUGCUAUCGUUGCAGAUAAAUUGGACAUUAUACGAGUGAAUGUCCUAAUCUAAGGGCCAGUGAUGACUAUACUCCAAUAUGUGGAAAUUAUAAGCAGUCUAGUCAUACUUAUCAAUAGUGCAAUGCGCCCUUUAAUUAUAAUAACCGGGACCAACAAAUACAAAUAAGCCAACCGGUGGAGGACAAAGGCCCUAUUCAACGAGACUCACUAGUACAUCAUGUCGAAGUGGUGAACGUAGUGCUUACCAAAGGCCAACAAAUAGACAAGAAUCUAAUUCAAGACUUAGAUGAAUCAAUCGCAGAAAAGCAAGUAGUGCCGUCCAUGGAGCUAAACGAACCAAUAUCAGUAUUGAGACGUAUCCCGAUAUUGAGACCUCAACAGACUGAGGAACUCAAUUCGGUUCCACAUGCCAAUUUACCAGGACCAUCUAGAACGAUCCAAACUGACCAAUUAUCAAUAUCUAUACAACCCAAUAAAAGAUCUUAUACAUUAAAGGAACCUUUAGUGGUAGAAAAGUUGGCAAAGUUACCAGUGGCAAUCCCAAUCGUCAGGAAGGAAUUACUGUCAAACGAAGUAAAAUUGAAACCAAUGAAAUGCAAAAGAGCAUUAAAAAUUACUCUUAAUAUGGAACCCUACGACAUUCUGAAGGAUUUGGAUGUUAUACAACCUUAAAUUAUAAUGAAGCAAAUUUUGGCUGUAGCAUCGGAAUGUCGAUCUACAUUGAAUUCAGCGCUAACACGACAAAGAUUCUACACUAAAGAAAUUCAUGAAGUUAGCUUAAUCCCAGAUCCGGGAGCACCAACAGUUGAUGUAUCAAUCGAUGGCAUUUUAAUUCCAGGGGUACAAGUCGAUGGUGGCUCCAGUGUGAAUUUAAUGAACGCGGAUAUAAUAGAGGACUUGGAUCUAAAGUAAUUGCUACCUACGACAUUUGUCUUGCAAAUAACAGAUCAUAGUCGUGUAAAGCCAAUGGGAAUCUUACGUAAUAUUGCCACUGUAAUCGUAAGAUUGACAUACAAAAUCGAUUAUAUUGUAUUCUGAUUACAAAGUUCUACAUUAUUGUUUCUUAUUUUAUUGGGCAGACAUUGACUUUAUCAAGCCAAAGCUAAGAACGAUUGGGGCUGAGGAACAUUGACAAUUGGAAAAGGCCGUGACCAGAUUAUUUUACAGAUGUACCCGAUACAAUAUCAUGAAGAAUCUCAAUUGCCAGAAUCAGAAUUUACAUUUGACAACAAGAGUCAAUCGAUUGAGGCAGAUGACAAUGCUAUAAGUUUACUGCAAUUUUGGAAUAGGACAAAAUACUUCAACAGCAAAGGUAGGAGUCUACCAAUGUAGAAGUUCUAACAAAUAUUUACUACAUCAAGACGAUGCGACUAACUCUGAUCAUGCUAUUGUCGAAUGGAUGAACAAUCUCACAGUCAAUAGAGUCAGUACAUUGGAACUAGAUUUGGAUGGUUCCCAUAUGAUGGAUAAUACAAGAUAUUCAGAUCAAGAGAAGACAAUUAAAUCAGAGGUUGUUGAAGACCAUGUGUGUCAAUCUAUUAACCUGGGCACCAACGAAAUAUCACAGCUAAUUAAAAUAUAUGCCAGUAUUAUCGAUACAAAAUUGGAUGCUUGGAAACAAUUUUUUGUCCAUCACAAAUCUGCCUUUGUGUGGUUGUAUGUGGAUUUGAAAGGGAUUCUAGCUGAUGUGUGUGAGCACCAGAUUAUUUUGGAGGAGGGUGUUACGCCAGUUCGGCAGAGGCAACAUCGCCUUAACCCAAAAUAUUCCCUUUUAGAGAAAGAAGAAUUGAAGAAACUUCUUGACAUGGGUUUUAUUUAUCCUGUUCCGCAUAGUGCAUGGAUGUUGCUAAUCGUGAUAGUAUCGAAGAAGAAUGAAAAAAUCAGGAUAUGUCAAGAUUUUUGAAAGUUAAAUGCGGCCACCAAGAAAGAUUACUUUUCAUUACCUUUCACAAAUAGUAUGGGUAAUAUGUUGUCAUUACCACUAGGUAGUAAAAGAAUAGGAGUGCGGCACCAGUUAAAGUCAUUUUUUGGUGUUGUUUUGGGUUGGCUGGAGUGCCAUUUUCUUGUAUUUCUUGUGUUUUUGAGAGUAGUAGUUUCAAAUAAGAGUUAAUAGUGAGGAGCCGGUCACAAGUGUCGAUUGAAGAUAUUCUAGAAUAGAUGAGUCAGCAGCAACAAUUGAAACUUCAGGAUGUCCAGAUCUUGAAACUGGAAGCUCAAGUCCAUGAACUGGGUGAGUAUAAUGAAGAUCUAUCAAACCAGUUGAGGAAGGAGUCGAUGGACUAGAGAAAGAAGAAGAAGAUUUACAAUUGGAACCAGAUUUGGUCGAACCUACAUUCGAUAAUACAACAAAUGAUUAAUUAGGUGGGCCAGAGGAACUAGUAACUUUGUGGAGAUUUAUUAAGUAGUUUUUAGAUAGGUAUCAAUUAAGUGUUUGCAAGGACGCUGCACAGAUAGAAGUGGGGCUAUGUAGAAUAGAUAUUAAUUUAUUUUUGAAAGAUAUUGAUAAAAUAUAUUAAUAGUUCAUAUAAUAGGAAGUUCAGGAGAACGAAUGAGUGAUUUAGUUCUUAAAAGCGAUUAAUUACAAAAUUACAAUUAGAAUCUGGAGAAUCAAGGAAAAGUAUAUAGGAGUUGUAGAAGUUAAUUAAAGAGCCAUCGCUGUGAUAAUUGUGAGCGAAGGUAAGCUUGGUGCUACCUCUUUUCUUUUGUUUGUUAUUUUAUUUGAAUAAGAGGAUUGAGAGUUUUUGAAUAUUGUGAAGUGAAUUAUGGAAUGGAAAUGUGAUUGGUAUUAUUUGAGAAGAAAAAAGAUUGAAUGCUGAAAUUUGAUUGUAAUUCAGUAGAGAGAAUGAGUCUGUGUUUGUGUGAAACACCGUAAUGUGAAUUACAGUUCUGUGUAAAGAAUUCCAAUGAUUGGAAUGAGGAUAAUUGUGUGCUGAAAGCUAUGAGAGCAGAGUAUUACAGUUGGAGAUUAUGAGGAUGAAUAUAUUGGUAGAAAUAGCAAUUAUU